rnacentral:tRNA from 1 species
CGUGGCGUGGCUCAGUUGACAGAGCCCGGUCUGAGGAGUCGGAGGUCGUGGGUUCUAAUUCCACCUCUGCCA